rnacentral:sRNA from 1 species
UUCUUUACAACGCAAAAAAUAAACAAUUGCAAUAAAAAGCAUUCGUGUGAGGUGACUUUGUUCAUCGUUGAUACAUCGAAAUCGUCAAACAAUUGAAGACUACCCAAAACACACAAAAUGGGUGCACAGAAUGGUUAGGCUUAACUAUGGCAUUAUGUGCAAUUUUGUGGGUUUCAU